rnacentral:tRNA from 1 species
AAGAGAUUAUAUUAAGAAGCUGCUAACUAUCUUUUUUACAUUAAAUUUGUUAAUCUCUUA